UGAAACAUGAGGAGGAGCACAGAGGAUCUCAGAGUGCAGCCUUUGGUGUGGAAACAUUGCAGCAAGUGUCAGGAUUCGUGUCCUGACCCGUUACAAGCCUCAGUGUUACUGAGAUGAGAGAAAGCAAAGCUCCUGCAGACACAGAGGCAUACUUCAGCCUGGUCCAGGACCAAAUCUCCUCUUAGCAUUAAUAAUACAUCAGUGGCUUUGGCGGGGGCAUGGUGACAUCAGUGUGGUACAUCUCUUGGGGAAAGUGAGAGAUGUAAGGUCCACUUUGUAAAACUGCGUGUCCACAGGAAAUGCUUUGACAACUGUGUGCUGCCAGCAGCUGAGAGGUGCUCCUGGCUCACGGCCUCCUGACCUUGCAGAGCAGUUUUCCAUAUGGAGCGCAUUCUGCCCGGUCCUCGAGGAGAGCACAGGUGUACACCAGCACAUGGUCACCUGGAAAGCAGCUUUUUGAUGAGCCUUGGAAUGAAUAGCCCUAAAUAAAAGAUAGAUGCAAACAAAGAGCUGUGUUGCCUGGACUGCUGGUGAGCACCUGAGGAUCCCUGAUGUGCUGAAAGCAUGGUCUGUCCGAGAUUUCCCCAAUCUGCCGACUUCUCUAGUUGGGAUAAAGUAGGAGAAAAUGUAUUGUGGUUGAAAUGAAAACUGGCAGUUACAGCCUUCCCUUGGCAAGGAGGGCUAAGGUCCCUUCACCAACUCGGGCAGAAGGCAGGUGCUCCCGUGCCGGAGCGGAGCUGCAGCGAUGUGACCCAGAAUCCUGUUGCAGGGUUGGGAUCGUUCCCAGCACAGUCCUGUGCUUCAAUCUUCUGCGUGACAUCAGAUAAGUAAACACCAAGAUUUGAUGUGAGAACAUAUGUCCAUUGCAUAAUUCAUUAGCAUUCUUCUCUGGAAUUACUUUUAGAUAUAUGUACUUAGAUCAGAAUUAGUGGGUGAGGGUUAUUCUGGGGAAAAAAGAAGCUAUGGCAGCUUUCAGAAAUGGGUGCUUCUCCUGGGACUGAAGGCAAGUUUGGCCAUUCAUUGUGUUUGCUUCUUAAACGAUUAUUUUGGUCGUGUAGAUUCAUUUCCUGCAAUUUGGGUGUGAGGUGGUGGAAGAACAGUGGCACAGAAACCCUCAGCUUAGCACUGCUGCUAAGUGCACUGCUCAGAAAAUAUAAUUAUCAUCUCGACCAAUUUCAUAGCUGUGUAACUCCAUCGCCUUGAGUAUAGUCGUUCCUGAUUGCCAAACACAAGAAACAUUCAAAACUAUUUACCUUCUGUUUUGCAACGUACCCGCUCCAUGUUUGUACUGCUUAGCAGGCAAAGUCAAUUGUUAGCCUGCCCAGGCUGUGCAGAUGUACGGUAACAGCAAAUCAUCGCAGCGCUUACAGCUUGUUCUCUUGUGUCAGCAAGAAAAUUGGAAGCAUGUUCAGCUUCUGUGGGACGCCUGGGAUGUGCGUUGUUCUCUAACGAAGCCAUUGCAUGCACCCUUUUCCUUGCCUCAUUUCAUCUUGACAUGCAGUGCAGCCAAUGGCUCUGGGGGUUGUUUUGCUGUAGGAAUGUUUGGGGGGAAAAAAAACCAAACCCAUCCCAAAACAGUACUGUACAGUAUGAGUCACUGAGGAGAAAUGGGAGGAGGAGUUAUUUUGAGGGCUUUUAUAUCUUCCUUAUUGCUAGGAGACUGCUUCCCCUGAGUGCAGCGCUCUCCGGGCUCCCAACAGCUGCCUUGUUUGCACUGAGGGCAAUUCACAGAGCAGCUUCGUAGUAGAGGAGAAACAAACCUGGAUGGAGCUCAUUGUCACUUCUCAUGCUUCUGAGACAAAUGCAGGAGUAAAUGGGAGACAGCUGCUAGUGCCAAGGACAGCAUUGUGCCCAAAAUGUCGGGGCUCUGGGGCUGAUCUCAGAGCUCUGCUCAGGUGCCAGGACAGCCACAGGCUGUUCUCUGCAAAGAGCCGUUCCAGGCCUGGGAUUCAGAGCAUGAGGAUGUGCUUUGCCCAUAGCUUUGCUGUUGCAAAAGCAAUACCUAAGUCCUGUAAGUCACGAACACCUGAAGGCUCCUCUGCCCUGGCUGGGUGUGUGGGGCUGGGGCAAAACAAUCCAUUGGGAGUGAACUGUCAGGAAAAUGAUGCUGAGACCAUCACUGGUAUUGCUGGUAUUGAUGGUGAUGGCUGCAGCUUUCCCACCCAGCGGGGGCCUGAGAGGGCAUGGCAGCGGGGUGAGCUGCCCACGGGCCUCCCAGCACUGGUGUUCUGUAAGGGGGAAUAUGUGGAGUGAAGUCCAGACUUCAUUUGUAAUGCACCCCUACUGCGAACUGUUUGCAGAGACUGGGUCUAGCAACAAGGGAGGUAAGGCUAUCAAUAUAUCAUUUUGCUCUGAAGUCGUGAGGCUGUUGCACAUUUUAUGUAAGCAAGUACUCAGUCACAUUAAUUUUAGGCAUCUGAGACUGUAUUUAUGAUGUACUAAAUCCAACUUUAUGUUCCUGGUAGCAAUCAGAGAUGUCAUGGUCCUCAGAGGUAAAGCACUGAAUGGGUACAAAUGCAGCCUGCUGGCUCAGGAAAUGUUGAUGGGUCAAUUCCAUGCAGCCAAGGCUUGGACUUCAUCAGGUUUUGUCCUCCUGUCUGUAAAUGGCGUGACUGGCAAAAGCAAUGGCAACGCAGGUCAGUAAUUUGUGCUUUGAUUUGACCAUGGAGUGACUGUAUAACUACCAGAUAAGGGCUACAUGUGCACUGCUAAGGAAGCCAGCAGUGAAAAUGCACUAUUGCCAAUCUAGCAUCCCAGGUCUGGUCUGUCCCUGAUGGCUGCUCCAUGAGCUCUGGUGGGAGUUUACACUGUGAGCUAUUGGUGCUCUGAGUUACACCAGAGGCAGAUCCUCAAAGCAGCCUUCAAGAGAAAGUGUGAACAGCAGCCAGAUAGCACACGUGACUCUGAGUUAUAAAAUUCUCAGUUCUGAAUAAAAAUUGUUUUCCGGGAACCACAGAUUUAAUAAUGCAGCUGAAGUAAUCUGAUUGUGUUUGGGAUUAUAAAUGGACAAAUCUCCUAGGGCUGUAGUCAUAAAGUCUAGGGAAAAAAAAAACAACAAAUCUAGUUAAUGAGAAUGUGUGAAUUUAUCAUCUAGAAGGGAGUUACGGAGACAACUGUACAAUAUCUCUUAUUGCAUCUUUCACGCUAAUGCCAGAUGGCUGGGAAUGGGAUCCCCCAUGUUCUCCUCCUUGUCUAAGAAGACAAGAAUAUAAACAAGGAAAGUGUCUGUGAUGGUAUUAUUUGGCUGCCUGGUAAGAUGAGUCAUUGCUUUUGAUCGCUUAAAUAAUUAGGACUGCUUUAUAAUUUGAUUACAGUGUUAUCUCUUUCUGCUCUGUAACCCCAGGUUUUGGGUUUCCAGCAGUAGCUCAUCCUUACCAAUAUUCCUCCUCACAUGCUGUCCUUUCCACGUCCCCAUUUAGUUCUGCCUCACAGAUCGCAAGCUCUCAAUCACCUUUUUACCUUCUCUUAGUUCAUGCUCUUCCCCUGUGCUAACUGCUUGUGACUAAUGCACAUUUUCGGGCCAAACAUCAGGUACCCUCAGCACUGUGCUGUGUAAAUAGACCAGCAGGUGUAAGCAGUACAUUAGAAAAGCUUUACUCGACAUAAAUUAGUACUUACAGGAGCCGUCCCUGCAUGUCCCAAAGGCAGGCCAGAUGGCCAGCGUUGGCGUGGGCUGGCCCCAGCCUCACCCCGGGGACUUCUCCUUGGUUUCUUCACACCAGUGGAGCAGUGUGGUCUGUAGCUAUGAAAGUUUCCAUUCUUAAUUUUAAUUUGCAGAAGCUGGGAGCCAUUUGCAAGCGCUGGCUCCAAUUAGGGAAUGCUGGCGCGUGGCGGCUGUGCAGGGUGAUAUUGGGAUGGUCUUCUCCCAAGGCGAGCUCUAGGCUUUUGUCUCUUGCCAUGACAACAAGGCUAUCAGUAGAUGAGGCUCUGAUAUGAGGUUACCAGCAAGCAGAGUGCAUUUGCCCACACACUUUUGAUCAGGGAUUGGUCCUUGUCGCUUCCUUGUCGCUGGCUGGACUUUGAAAGCGCCUUUGAUCCAGCUAUGCCAAAGAAAUGCAGUUGUUUGAAGUCUUUGAUCCUUUCUGUGGGCAGACUAGGCCCAGAGAUCUUGAUGGGCUAGAGCUGUUUCUGAGCAUUUCUUCCUUAUUAAGACUCAGCAUAAGCUGCAUAAAACUCUUUCCAUUGGCACGUCUGAGCAGACCCAGACCAGGUUGUUUUACACCAGUUGGUGGGUUGGAGUAGAAACCCAUCCCUCCAUCACUCUUGUCGUCUAUGGGACCAUCAUGUGAGUCACCAAGCUUCCCAGGCUCAGCUGCCUUCCAACCACAGGACAAGGUUGUGCCAGGAAUCACAGGAGACAAAACAUAGGGAGGGAACUUUCAGUGGUCAUUUUAAGGCAGAAAUUUUGUCAGAAUGAGAUAGAAAAUAGUGGGUUUGCUGAUAGGCACAGGUUGCUUGGGUGAGACAGGAGUGGGUACAGGUGUGGGUGCCCUCUGCUCAGGUUUUGUUCUGGAGGUGCUUGAUGUGCUGUACAAUCCCGUGCUCCAUGGCACUGGGGGGGGGUCCUGCUGUAUGCAUGCUCUGUGUCUGGAUGUUUAUUUUUAAGUGGAUAAUAUGCUGCCUUUCCUAUUCAGAGAGCGUACCAAAGCAAUUUUUGUUCCUUAGUGAAUACCAGAAAUAACUGGGUAAGUACAAAUAUAUCUCCUAGCAGCCUUGUUUGUGACCGAAGUGUGCACUGAGUCUUCUCACUACAUCAGGGCUGCAAAUAUUCGAGUCACAUUCGGAUGGCAAAGCCAACGGCACAUAGCUUUAAUUACAAUAUUUCUCUCCAACAGUCUUUCUCUCAUGUUUUUUUCUGAACAUUGUUUAAAGAACUGAUGAAAGGGAUGAAAACUUUUCAAACUUUCCUUUUCUUAGGGUCUCAUCAGCUCAGUCUUUCAUCACACAGUCAAUAAACAGUUGAAAAGGACUCUUCUGAACUGCAGCAGGAGGGAGGAGGAAGAGGGGAAAUUAAUGAUAUCACCAAACUGAAAACUCUUUCAAGUUGCCUUUAAUUGCAGAGGGCAUGGGCAGCGAUUUCAGUUUUUAGCUCUCAGAUCUCUUGCUGUCCCCAGAGGGGUUUGCCCUCCUCUCCUCCUGCACUGCCAGCAUUCCUCCUGGAGUGGCUGAGCCAGGUGGCAGUGGGGCAGGCAGAUGACUCCAGCAUGGGCUCCAACUCAUGUCUCCAACACCAUCACCUCCAGCACUUUCCCUCCUCAUGGCACUCCUGAAGUUGAUGUCCCCCAGGACCCCAACUUCACAUGAGCACCUGAAUUCAAGUGGAAGAAAUAACAGAUGUGCUGCUGUGCUGGAGACGUUUCCAGGCUGAACCCCUCCGCACCCCUCCCAACAUCAGUAUUCUGCUUGUUGUCCCC
rnacentral:lncRNA from 1 species